rnacentral:rRNA from 1 species
UACGUAGGAGGCAAGCGUUGUCCGGAGUUACUGGGCGUAAAGCGCACGCAGGCGGUCGUGUCAGUCUGGGGUGACAGUUUCCGGCUUAACCGGAAAAGGACUCUGGAAACUGCACGACUUGAGGGCUUCAGAGGGAUGUGGAAUUCCUGGUGUAGCGGUGAAAUGCGUAGAGAUCAGGAGGAACACCCGUGGCGAAGGCGGCGCCCUGGUCCGUUAGCUGACGCUGAGACGCGAAAGCGCGGGGAGCGAACGGG